rnacentral:rRNA from 1 species
UACGUAGGGGGCUAGCGUUGUCCGGAAUCAUUGGGCGUAAAGCGCGCGUAGGCGGCCCUGUUAGUCCGCUGUAAAAGUCAAAGGCUCAACCUUUGAAUGCCGGUGGAUACUGCAGGGCUAGAGUCCGGAAGAGGCGAGUGGAACUCCUGGUGUAGCGGUGAAAUGCGUAGAUAUCGAGAGGAACACCUGCGGCGAAGGCGGGUAGCUGGGCCGACACUGACGCUGAAGCGCGAAAGCCAGGGGAGCGAACGGG